UGAACAUAUCCUAAGUAUCUUUUGGUCAUUUGGAUCUGAGAGGUACAGUUCUCUGAAAGCUACUUUCAUCAAUACUAUGAAACUCCUCACCAUCUUUCACUGUGAUUUCUGGACCCAGAACUUCAACUAUGGGUGCUGUCCCAUAAGAAACUGUACAAAUAAAUGUGAGGAUCACAAACAUCUUGUCAACAUUAAAAGUUUUUUGAAUGUACAACAAUCAAAAAUUAAUUAAAAACCUAU